rfam:Nelumbo nucifera unplaced genomic scaffold scaffold00153, whole genome shotgun sequence
CGAAGAAAGCGAUGUUGGUAAGGUUCAAUCCGAAGACGGCUUUACACUUGAACCGUAAAAACGAUCUCAGAUUGAGCCGCGCCAAUAUCACUUUCCAUUCA